AAUUAACGACCAAGCAUACUUGCCACUUAGAAGUGUUAAUGUGUACAAUAAUUUCUCAGGGAGUGAGACGCGCGCAAUUGGCUGAUGAUGUUCCGCACCGGCUAUAGCUUUGCCAACGACCUGGAGCAGCUUCUCUGCUGCGCUGCAUGCGGAAUUGUUCCUUGAACUGAUCAUCCUGAUAUCGUGGCAUGGAGCGUAUAUGUUUAUCUUCGCCCCCAGUGGCUGUACUCAGGACAUUUAAUGUACUCUCAGACGUAACUAGCCGUACUGCCUCGGCCAAUUGGGGGCCCAGACCCUCGUCCAGAAAAAAAUUCAGCAUAAAUGCUUUGUGAGCGCGUGCAUUCAUUUUACGCGGAAAACAAGGUAAACAAAAUCAAAGUAAACAAAAGAACACAACACUAACAGCGACAGCUGUGAGUACUCAACAACUUUAACAUUUGCUGUCAAGUCAACAAUUAUGUAAACAGAACAAAAACGUAGAGAUGAUACGCUGUAAAUACAAGUAGUUAUUAUCGGUCUAUCGAAAUGACAUUUUAGUGUAAAAA